GACGAACGCUGGCGGCGUGCUUAACACAUGCAAGUCGAACGGAAAGGCCCUGCUGUUGUUGGUUGCUCGAGUGGCGAACGGGUGAGUAACAAGUGAGUAACCUGCCCCUGACUUUGGGAUAACUUCAGGAAACUGGGGCUAAUACCAGAUAUGAUCUCUUGCUGCAUGGUGUUGGUUGGAAAGUUUCGGGGUUUGGGGAUGGCCUCGCGGUUUACCAGCUUGUUGGUGGGUUAGUGGCUUACCAAGUCUUGGACGGCUGGCCGGCCUGGGGGGGGGACCGGCACAAUGGGACCUGGGGUCGGGCCCAGCUUCCUACGGGGGGAAGAGGUGGGGAUAAUUGCAAAAGGGGCGGAGGCCUGAUGAACAACGGCCGGGUGCGGGAUACCGGCCUUGGGGUUGUAACCCGCUUUAGCAUGUGACGAAGCGUGGGUGACGGUAACGGGUAAAGAAGCACCGGCUAACUACGUG
rnacentral:rRNA from 1 species